AGAUUGAACGCUGGCGGCAGGCCUAACACAUGCAAGUCGAGCGGCAGCACGGGUACUUGCACCUGGUGGCGAGCGGCGGACGGGUGAGUAAUGCCUAGGAAUCUGCCUGGUAGUGGGGGAUAACGCUCGGAAACGGACGCUAAUACCGCAUACGUCCUACGGGAGAAAGCAGGGGACCUUCGGGCCUUGCGCUAUCAGAUGAGCCUAGGUCGGAUUAGCUAGUUGGUGAGGUAAUGGCUCACCAAGGCGACGAUCCGUAACUGGUCUGAGAGGAUGAUCAGUCACACUGGAACUGAGACACGGUCCAGACUCCGUACGGGAGGCAG
rnacentral:rRNA from 1 species